rnacentral:piRNA from 1 species
UACCAAGAUCUAUUCCACAGAAGAUGAGCC